rnacentral:tRNA from 1 species
GUGACCCUAGCUCAAGCGGAGAGCACGAGGCCGUGAACCUCGGGACGCGGGUGCGAUUCCCGCCGGUCACC